rnacentral:rRNA from 1 species
UAUGAGUAGCGAGAUAGAGGUGAGAAUCCUCUAGGCCGAAUAUCCAAGGUUUCCAGGGUAAAGCUGAUCUGCCCUGGGUAAGUCGGGGCCUAAGGUAAGGACGAGAGUCGUAGCCGAUGGACAACAGGUGGAGAUUCCUGUACUAUGAUAUGACAGAACUGUGGGGACACGUGCAGAGAGCGGAAGCCGGGAAUGGGAUCCCGGUGCAAGCGAGGUACCAGCCGCAUUGGAAAAACCGUGCGGCAAUGGGAAGACGUGAUGCGGAGUGAAGUUUAGUAAUGAAGUCCGUGAGCUGUGCGUCAAGAAAAGCCGCUAUUGUUCAUACCAUACCCGUACCGUAAACCGACACAGGUGGAUGAGGAGAGAAUCCUAAGGCCGGCGGAAGAAGCAUUGUCAAGGAACUCGGCAAAAUGACCCCGUAACUUCGGGAGAAGGGGUGCCUGCGAGAGCAGGCCGCAGAGAAUAGGCUCAAGCAACUGUUUAGCAAAAACACAGGUCUAUGCGAAACCGAAAGGUGAGGUAUAUGGGCUGACGCCUGCCCGGUGCUGGAAGGUUAAGAGGAGAGGUUAGCGGUAACGCGAAGCUUUGAAUUUAAGCCCCAGUAAACGGCGGCCGUAACUAUAACGGUCCUAAGGUAGCGAAAUUCCUUGUCGGGUAAGUUCCGACCCGCACGAAAGGCGUAAUGAUUUGAGCGCUGUCUCAACAAUGCAUCCGGUGAAAUUGAAGUACCAGUGAAGAUGCUGGUUACCUGCGCCAGGACGGAAAGACCCCAUGGAGCUUUACUCCAGUUUGGUACUGGGAUCCGGUACUGCAUGUACAGGAUAGGUGGGAGGCUAUGAAUCGGUAACGCCAGUUGCCGAGGAGCCGCUGUUGGGAUACCACCCUUGCAGUAUUGGGUUUCUAACCAGCCGCCGUGACCCGGCGGUGGGACAAUGCCAGACGGGGAGUUUGACUGGGGCGGUCGCCUCCGAAAGGGUAUCGGAGGCGCCCAAAGGUUCCCUCAGGAUGGACGGAAACCAUCCAAAGAGUGCAAAGGCAGAAGGGAGCUUGACUGCGACACCGACGGUGGAGCAGGUACGAAAGUAGGGCUUAGUGAUCCGGUGGUAUUAAGUGGGAAUGCCAUCGCUCAACGGAUAAAAGCUACCCUGGGAUAACAGGCUUAUCACUCCCAAGAGUUCACAUCGACGGAGUGGUUUGGCACCUCGAUGUCGGCUCAUCGCAUCCUGGGGCUGUAGUAGGUCCCAAGGGUUGGGCUGUUCGCCCAUUAAAGCGGUACGCGAGCUGGGUUCAGAACGUCGUGAGACAGUUCGGUCCCUAUCCGGCGUAGGCGUAGGAUAUCUGAGAGGAGCUGUCCUUAGUACGAGAGGACCGGGAUGGACGGGCCGCUGGUGCACCGGUUAGACUGCCAAGUCUAUAGCCGGGUAGCCAAGCCCGGAAGGGAUAAACGCUGAAGGCAUCUAAGCGUGAAGCCCCCCUCAAGAUGAGAUAUCCCAUCCGAAAGGAGUAAACCCCCUUGAAGACGACGAGGUCGAUAGGGCAGAGGUGGAAGUGUGGUAACACAUGGAGCUGACUGCUACUAAUAGGGUGAGGGCUUGACC